rnacentral:rRNA from 1 species
UAAUACGAAGGGACCUAGCGUAGUUCGGAAUUACUGGGCUUAAAGAGUUCGUAGGUGGUUAAAAAAGUUGAUGGUGAAAUCCCAGAGCUUAACUCUGGAACUGCCAUCAAAACUUUUUAGCUAGAGUAUGAUAGAGGAAAGCAGAAUUUCUAGUGUAGAGGUGAAAUUCGUAGAUAUUAGAAAGAAUACCAAUUGCGAAGGCAGCUUUCUGGAUCAUUACUGACACUGAGGAACGAAAGCAUGGGUAGCGAAGAGGAUUAGAUACCCUCGUAGUCCAUGCCGUAAACGAUGUGUGUUAGACGUUGGAAAUUUAUUUUCAGUGUCGCAGUGAAAACAAUAAACACACCGCCUGGGGAGUACGACCGCAAGGUUA